rnacentral:rRNA from 1 species
UACAGAGACUGCAAGCGUUAUUCGGAUUCACUGGGCGUAAAGGGUGCGCAGGCGGUCGGGUGUGUCAGAUGUGAAAUCCCGAGGCUCAACCUCGGAACUGCGUCUGAAACUACUCGACUAGAGUACUGGAGAGGGUAACGGAAUUCACGGUGUAGCAGUGAAAUGCGUAGAUAUCGUGAGGAACACCAGAGGCGAAGGCGGUUACCUGGACAGUUACUGACGCUCAGGCACGAAAGCGUGGGGAGCGAACAGG